CGGGACACGUGGUAUCCUGUCUGAAUAUGGGGGGACCAUCCUCCAAGGCUAAAUACUCCUGACUGACCGAUAGUGAACCAGUACCGUGAGGGAAAGGCGAAAAGAACCCCGGCGAGGGGAGUGAAAAAGAACCUGAAACCGUGUACGUACAAGCAGUGGGAGCCUCUUAAUGGGGUGACUGCGUACCUUUUGUAUAAUGGGUCAGCGACUUAUAUUCUGUAGCAAGGUUAACCGAAUAGGGGAGCCGAAGGGAAACCGAGUCUUAACUGGGCGUUAAGUUGCAGGGUAUAGACCCGAAACCCGGUGAUCUAGCCAUGGGCAGGUUGAAGGUUGGGUAACACUAACUGGAGGACCGAACCGACUAAUGUUGAAAAAUUAGCGGAUGACUUGUGGCUGGGGGUGAAAGGCCAAUCAAACCGGGAGAUAGCUGGUUCUCCCCGAAAGCUAUUUAGGUAGCGCCUCGUGAAUUCAUCUCCGGGGGUAGAGCACUGUUUCGGCAAGGGGGUCAUCCCGACUUACCAACCCGAUGCAAACUGCGAAUACCGGAGAAUGUUAUCACGGGAGACACACGGCGGGUGCUAACGUCCGUCGUGAAGAGGGAAACAACCCAGACCGCCAGCUAAGGUCCCAAAGUCAUGGUUAAGUGGGAAACGAUGUGGGAAGGCCCAGACAGCCAGGAUGUUGGCUUAGAAGCAGCCAUCAUUUAAAGAAAGCGUAAUAGCUCACUGGUCGAGUCGGCCUGCGCGGAAGAUGUAACGGGGCUAAACCAUGCACCGAA
rnacentral:rRNA from 1 species